rnacentral:lncRNA from 1 species
AAAAUUAUUUGGGAUAAUCAAGAGAGCUCAGAUGAAAGAGUAAUAGCCAGAAUCGAGCAUUUGCUUGUCAUUCAUUUAACCGGUACUCACUGAACAAAUGGAAAGCACUUGAAGGAGAAGAGAGAUUCCUUUCCUUUCCCUAGACUUCAACCUUUCUACUUCAUAAGACUAGACCUCUAAAAUGUUUAUGUACCCACUUGCCUAGACAAACAUUCAUAUAAUCACACUGGUUGGUGCCAGUGUGCGUGUGCUGUUGUUGGGGAUGUUGUUGAUGGGGAAAUGGUACAAAAGGUGGGCAGAGAGCAGAACUGUUACCUAGAGAUGGAGAGAAAUUGGGGCAACUCUCAUUAGUUUAUUCAUUCAUGGGUUCACUCAUUGAUUCAUUCCAUCUUUAAUUUAUUUCAUGUAACAUAUUUCCUGAGAACCUACUGUGUUGCAAGCAUUGAGCUAGCACAGCUAUCCUCCUUUCAGAUAGCUAACUAGCCAGCUGAAAAUGAGUUGCUGUAAUUUUACAGAGGAAAUAACUCAAAUAACAACUUGUAGUAUUUUCAGUACUUUUAGUAGUUUGCUUCACUAACACAAAAAUGUAUUUUUUAAAAAAGGGAAAAAAACUGAGUGGUGCAACGAAAAGCAAAAAUACUUUCCUAAUUACAGAUGUCCAUCUGUGGGUCUAUUAGUCUUAAAUUACCAGUGAUUAAAUUCUAAUUGUAGCAGAGAAACAAGCUUCUAGGCAGUUAAAAAGAAAAACAACAAAACCAAACAGUGAAACAGAGUACAAUGAAUACGGGUAAUUUAUCUAUCUCUACAUUUAAGCUAUAUCUAAGAGCGAGCCUGUCUCCUUGCACACCUUUUCUCUGCUUUCAAGAAAUAAGACAGUGUUUUCAAUGAAGUUAUGAAUCUCUUAUCCAAACAGCGAGCUCGAGUAUGAAAUAUGCAUGUUAGCAAGUGAUAAACACUUUGAAAGGAAAUUUUGAUAAAUUUUCUCAUUUGAAGCCAGUUCCCUUUAAGAAGCUAGACAUAUGUUUUAUGUGUAAUUACAUAACAACAAUUCUAUAGAAAAAAAUAAAUCUCUUCUCCAGAGUUAACGAGAUCCUUUCUUUGCAAGAAGUAGAGAGUAGAGUGCAUUCCUGCUCUGCAAUCCUGAAUUUUGCUCAGGGGCAUGUAACAGUAUCUGAGCCUGCAAGGGCACCCGUCUUCCUACCAAUUUCUCAGCCCAUUACUAGAGUACCUUAGGCAUCAGCUGAGGUGCCUUGUCUUUUUCAACUCAGUGGAAUGGACUUGAGCCUUAUCCCACACGUGGUGGUAACCCCAUAUUCCUCAUUCUUACCAUAAAUUCUAACAGGGAAGGGGAAGGUGAGGAUGGUAUGUGCUUUUCCUGGCCAAUUCUGACUCUGAAUUGCUUCUUCUAAGGUUACGUUAUUAAUUGUGAUGCCUUCCCACAAGAGCUGUGUCUGUACUGUGCCACAUAACCCCUGAAGCUGAAUAAAGAACUUUCUCCUUGAUUCCCCCAGCCCUCCAAAAACAUCAGGUGAUGAGGUCCCAUUGUAAAUGACCCAAGGACAAACAGCUCAUGACUUCAAAGGAGGCCUCUUCAACCCAGGGCAAAUUCAGGCCUUCAUUCCAGGGGUCUGUAAGCAAGUACUGAGUGAAGAGAUAUCCUAAAAUCAAUCGGUAAAUUGCAUGUUUGAAGUAAACUAAAAACCAAAUUUCAGGGUUGAUGCUGGCUUUGGAGGAGAUGGGAAAAUCAUUUGUUUGGAGACAAGAAGCAUGUUAUGCCGGUAGAUGUGUGCACAUAUGCUUCUAUAAGUGGGUACAUGCAUUCCCACUUUUCCUGCCAAGUCUUUAGAAAACCACUUAAGUAAGAAUGGAGAAAUGUAGCAUUGUAGCUUCCCUACAGUUUGUGUUCAUUUUGUUUAUUGCAGUUCCUCUUUGCCAACCCUGGAUAAUGGCAACAACUUCUUUAGUGGCAUGCUGCAUGCUCUGUUUGGUCAUGUCCAGAGAUACCCAAGAUAAAGAAGUUUGAUAAAUAUACACAUUAACUCAGCAAAAAUAACAUGGUUAUUUUCAUGAAUAUUGCACUUGGGCACAUCAGCAAAAUUCAAAAGUGAUAAAAGGUGAGCAUUGUAUAUGAAUUUUGCAUAUGUACAUGGUAAUAUUUUGACACUAGGAACAAUAUUUUAAGUUGAAAUGUCUAUAUUUUAAUUUAGUAAAGAUUUGGCAAGCCCCUGCUAUAUUAGCAAUAUCAAGAUAAUGAGAUAAAGAUCCCACUCUCAAUAAAAAUAUAAAAUUAUACAUGUUUCUUGUGCCCAUCAUCAGCCAUCGUUAUGAACAUCACUCUGAACUGUUAUGCACAAUAAGAUAACUAGAGGGUUAAAAAUGAAGGUUUUACUGCUCACGUUGAAUAUUAUUUUUAGAAAAGAAAGUCAUUUCUAUUAUAGAGGAGGCAUUGUGGUCUACUAUAAUGGCAAGCAUAUUAAAAACAAUGCAUUCCUGGUGAAAUAAUGCUUAGAGCAUAGUCAACAAAAUAAGCAGGCUGCUGAAAAAAGUUUAAAUGUCAUAUUUCAUUAAUUCUAAGACACAUUUCCUCCUGCUUUUAGAUCUCUCAAAUUGAAAGGCAUCUUACAACCUAUAGAUGAAAUCUAGUAAAUAGAAUAAGAUAAAAAGUAUCUUAGUUUCUUUCCUUGGGUUGUUUGCCUUUCUUUUAAGGGAAGGUUUGUUUGACUGUUGUGUUUUGUUUUUAACAGCUUGUUUAUGAAUCUUCCCUUUUCUAGCGUUAAUGAUUGUGUGAGCCUAGAAUUUAAAUGGUACAAAACUCUGAUUUUUGUUUUUAUUCUUUGUUCUGACCAUUACUGAGGGGAGUACAGGACACUGAAGCAGAAACAAGGUCUGAAAGUGGCAAUGUGGACCUUGCUCCUCUGUGGAGGACUCUGGUACCUGUCUGUGUCUGAAUCUUGCCACUUCCACUUAUCUAGCUUUGCGAUCUGGAAAAGAUUAACUUUAGCCUCUCUGUGCCUCAGUUUCUUCAAGUGCUGAAUAAUGGUAUCUACCUCAUAGUGCUGCUAUGAGGGUUGAGUUUAAUAUAAGUAAGGCCUUAGAAUAAUGCCUGGCACAUACUAAAUAUUCUCUCAACUUUAGCUGUUACCAUUGUGCCUCACUUCC